rnacentral:rRNA from 1 species
GAUGAACGCUGGCGGCGUGCCUAAUACAUGCAAGUCGAGCGAACGGACGAGAAGCUUGCUUCUCUGAUGUUAGCGGCGGACGGGUGAGUAACACGUGGAUAACCUACCUAUAAGACUGGGAUAACUUCGGGAAACCGGAGCUAAUACCGGAUAAUAUUUUGAACCGCAUGGUUCAAAAGUGAAAGACGGUCUUGCUGUCACUUAUAGAUGGAUCCGCGCUGCAUUAGCUAGUUGGUAAGGUAACGGCUUACCAAGGCAACGAUGCAUAGCCGACCUGAGAGGGUGAUCGGCCACACUGGAACUGAGACACGGUCCAGACUCCUACGGGAGGCAGCAGUAGGGAAUCUUCCGCAAUGGGCGAAAGCCUGACAGAGCAACGCCGCGUGAGUGAUGAAGGUCUUCGGAUCGUAAAACUCUGUUAUUAGGGAAGAACAUAUGUGUAAGUAACUGUGCACAUCUUGACGGUACCUAAUCAGAAAGCCACGACUAACUACGUG